CCUACGGGAGGCAGCAGUGGGGAAUUUUGGACAAUGGACGCAAGUCUGAUCCAGCCAUUCCGCGUGCAGGACGAAGGCCUUCGGGUUGUAAACUGCUUUUGUACAGAACGAAAAAGUUUCUAUUAAUACUAGGGGCUCAUGACGGUACUGUAAGAAUAAGCACCGGCUAACUACGUGCCAGCAGCCGCGGUAAUACGUAGGGUGCAAGCGUUAAUCGGAAUUACUGGGCGUAAAGCGUGCGCAGGCGGUUAUAUAAGACAGAUGUGAAAUCCCCGGGCUCAACCUGGGAACUGCAUUUGUGACUGUAUAGCUGGAGUGCGGCAGAGGGGGAUGGAAUUCCGCGUGUAGCAGUGAAAUGCGUAGAUAUGCGGAGGAACACCGAUGGCGAAGGCAAUCCCCUGGGCCUGCACUGACGCUCAUGCACGAAAGCGUGGGGAGCAAACAGGAUUAGAUACCCUGGUAGUCCACGCCCUAAACGAUGUCAACUGGUUNUUGGGUCUUCACUGACUCAGUACGAAGCUAACGCGUGAAGUUGACCGCCUGGGGAGUACGGCCGCAAGGUUGAAACGUCAAAGAUAGUGACGNGAGAGAGCGACGACGACGACGAGGAGGGAGGAGG
rnacentral:rRNA from 1 species